CGACGACCGAAGCGAGUUUAAGCUCAGGACCAACGGCUUUACGUGCUUUCUGAGGCACGGUCAUAAUUUCGAAAAACAACAAACAAGUCAAAGUUCCAGACUGAGCUUCUAAAGAAAAUGACUUUAUUACAAUAUACGUAAAUAUCGGGUCCUCCAUGUCUCCCUUGCGGAAUGGACUCUGUGACUCUAAGAAGGCCGCUGAUUGUUGGAGACAGUACUUUCGACUAUCGACCUACAAGUUGGCCCGGGAUGGUGCUCAACAAUCAAGAUAAAAAAGUCCGAUACCAACUAAUUAAUUAUGAACGUCCGGUUCGACCUCACUAUCCGUCAUGUGCGCCGUCGGCUAAUUGAAUAAUUCUUUUAAUGGAUAACAUAAAUUUAAUAUUAUAUAUCUGUAUAAUAUCUG